UCAAUGUAUACAAUAGAACAAUAUCAAUUUAAUAAUUAAUAUGUAAGUUAUAUAACGAUCGAAUAUAAAAUAUGUUCAGCUCGAAAGCCGUGUCAGAGUCAGAUUUGGGUUUGUAGCCUGACUACCAGAGCUCUUAAUAAAAGCAUCUGCAGAUAAUCAUAUCUGUGAUUAUUUGUAUUCCUGAACGCUGACAGGACAAGUGAAAGGAGAGCUCCACGGUCUGUCACCUCCUGGCCAAAUCCACGGGUGAGGAGCAGCCAGUGCCAGGCCUGGGACACGGAAAUGCCAGGCUUGGGACAUGGAAAUGCCAGGCCUGGGACAUGGAACUGCCAGGCUUGGGACAUGGAAAUGCCAGGCUUGGGACAUGGAAAUGCCAGGCCUGGGACAUGGAAAUGCCAGACCUGGGACAUGGAAAUUCCAGGCCUGGGACACGGAAGUGCCAGGCCUGGGACAUGGAAAUGCCAGGCCUGGGACAUGGAAGUGCCGGGCCUGGGACAUGGAAAUGCCAGGCCUGGGACAUGGAAGUGCCAGGCCUGGGACAUGGAAAUGCCGGGCCUGGGACAUGGAAAUGCCAGGCCUGGGACAUGGAAAUGCCAGGCCUGGGACAUGGAAAUGCAUCUUCUCUGGCCAGGAUGGAGAGCAGCAAACUCUGCUGCCAUGGUUACGGAGCAGCAACCCAUCAGGCCCCAUCUCGCAUCGCUAACUCUGCCACUUAAUUAACUGACUGCUCGUUAUUUCCCCAAAUGAGCUCCUCCGUCCUCCCGCUCGCCUGAAAUGCAGCUUUCAGAUGCUGUUCAAGCAGUGGUCUCGCUCCAACAUCCUGUGUUUCAUUUAAAACUCAGCAAGGAGUAGAAAGAGCUGGGGAGCAGCCCCAGGACUGAGGGAGGGCUCCAAGGGGAAGUUUUCCUUUAGGGAUGAAGUCAAUAGGAUCACAUCCACCCGGCUCAGCACAGAACUGUGGCUUUUGAUUUCCAACACCCCUGGCUUCAGACUUGUGCCAUCCAAAGGUCUCUGGGCUCUGUCCUCCCAUUAUCUGCACACAUGGCAGGGUCACUCUGGGAUGGACAGGGCUAUAAUUAGUGGUGUUCAUAAAAAGUUACUCCAGUCUGGGCUGAUAUUUCUGCACCUUUCUCCAGGCAGGGAGUUCACUCUGCUGAAGCACCAGGCUGUGUGUGCAGUGCUCUGAACUCCUGCUGAGGAGGAGUUUGGGAGAGACCUGAAGGGUUUACAUUGGGAUAUCUUGUCUGCUGUGGAUAAAAAUCCAGAGUAUCCCCAUGCUAUGGGGUGAAGGAGGGAAAGGAUGCUGUCCAAGGCCUGGCAGGGGGAUGGUUUUCUGUUUUCUCAUCAAAAACUCACUCUAAUCUUACCUGUUUUCUGUUCCCUACACCUUCACAUCUAACAUGCCCUCACUCCUUGCAAACCAGCCUUUGCCAUGUGACUGCCAGCAUCUCCUCCUGACCCUUAAUCUCCCCCCGCUGCUGCUGCCUCACAUUAACAUCUCCCAUCUGAGGCUGAACAAAUCCACACACCAGAAAAAAAAAAAAAAGAAAAAAAAAAAAAA
ensembl:lncRNA